rnacentral:rRNA from 1 species
AGAGUUUGAUCCUGGCUCAGGACGAACGCUGGCGGCACGCUUAACACAUGCAAGUCGAACGAGAGAAGAGGAGCUUGCUUUUCUGAUCUAGUGGCGGACGGGUGAGUAACACGUGAGCAAUCUGCCUUUCAGAGGGGGAUACCGAUUGGAAACGAUCGUUAAUACCGCAUAACAUAAUUGAACCGCAUGAUUUGAUUAUCAAAGAUUUAUCGCUGAAAGAUGAGCUCGCGUCUGAUUAGCUGGUUGGUAAGGUAACGGCUUACCAAGGCGACGAUCAGUAGCCGGACUGAGAGGUUGAUCGGCCACAUUGGGACUGAGACACGGCCCAGACUCCUACGGGAGGCAGCAGUGGGGAAUAUUGCACAAUGGAGGAAACUCUGAUGCAGCGAUGCCGCGUGAGGGAAGAAGGUUUUAGGAUUGUAAACCUCUGUCUUCAGGGACGAAAAAAGACGGUACCUGAGGAGGAAGCUCCGGCUAACUACGUGCCAGCAGCCGCGGUAAUACGUAGGGAGCGAGCGUUGUCCGGAAUUACUGGGUGUAAAGGGAGCGUAGGCGGGAUCGCAAGUCAGAUGUGAAAACUAUGGGCUUAACCCAUAAACUGCAUUUGAAACUGUGGUUCUUGAGUGAAGUAGAGGUAAGCGGAAUUCCUAGUGUAGCGGUGAAAUGCGUAGAUAUUAGGAGGAACACAAUGGCGAAGGCGGCUUACUGGGCUUUAACUGACGCUGAGGCUCGAAAGCGUGGGGAGCAAACAGGAUUAGAUACCCUGGUAGUCCACGCCGUAAACGAUGAUUACUAGGUGUGGGGGGACUGACCCCUUCCGUGCCGCAGCAAACGCAAUAAGUAAUCCACCUGGGGAGUACGACCGCAAGGUUGAAACUCAAAGGAAUUGACGGGGGCCCGCACAAGCAGUGGAGUAUGUGGAUUAAUUCGAAGCAACGCGAAGAACCUUACCAGGUCUUGACAUCGUAUGCAUAGCUCAGAGAUGAGUGAAAUCUCUUCGGAGACAUAUAGACAGGUGGUGCAUGGUUGUCGUCAGCUCGUGUCGUGAGAUGUUGGGUUAAGUCCCGCAACGAGCGCAACCCUUACUGUUAGUUGCUACGCAAGAGCACUCUAGCAGGACUGCCGUUGACAAAACGGAGGAAGGUGGGGAUGACGUCAAAUCAUCAUGCCCCUUAUGACCUGGGCCUCACACGUACUACAAUGGCUGUCAACAGAGGGAAGCAAAGCCGCGAGGUGGAGCGAACCCCUAAAAGCAGUCUUAGUUCGGAUUGUAGGCUGCAACCCGCCUACAUGAAGUCGGAAUUGCUAGUAAUCGCAGAUCAGCAUGCUGCGGUGAAUACGUUCCCGGGCCUUGUACACACCGCCCGUCACGCCAUGGGAGUCGGUAACACCCGAAGCCUGUAGUCUAACCGCAAGGAGGACGCAGUCGAAGGUGGGAUUGAUGACUGGGGUGAAGUCGUAACAAGGUA